CAAUAGCGUAUAUUAAAGUUGUUGCGGUUAAAAAGCUCGUAGUUGGAUUUCUGCCGAGGACGACCGGUCCGCCCUCUGGGUGAGUAUCUGGCUCGGCCUGGGCAUCUUCUUGGAGAACGUAGCUGCACUUGACUGUGUGGUGCGGUAUCCAGGACUUUUACUUUGAGGAAAUUAGAGUGUUUCAAGCAGGCUUACGCCUUGAAUACAUUAGCAUGGAAUAAUAAGAUAGGACCUCGGUUCUAUUUUGUUGGUUUCUAGAGCUGAGGUAAUUGAUUAAUAGGGAUAGUUGGGGGCAUUCGUAUUUAACUGUCAGAGGUGAAAUUCUUGGAUUUACGAAAGAUAAACUUCUGCGAAAGCAUUCGGCAAGGAUGUUUNCAUUGA
rnacentral:rRNA from 1 species